rnacentral:rRNA from 1 species
GACGAACGCUGGCGGCGUGCUUAACACAUGCAAGUCGAACGGUGAUGCUCCAGCUUGCUGGAGUGGAUCAGUGGCGAACGGGUGAGUAACACGUGAGCAACCUGCCCCAGACUCUGGAAUAAGCGCUGGAAACGGCGUCUAAUACUGGAUACGAAACUGGCCCGCAUGGGCAUGGUUUGGAAAGUUUUUCGGUUUGGGAUGGGCUCGCGGCCUAUCAGCUUGUUGGUGAGGUAAUGGCUCACCAAGGCGACGACGGGUAGCCGGCCUGAGAGGGCGACCGGCCACACUGGGACUGAGACACGGCCCAGACUCCUACGGGAGGCAGCAGUGGGGAAUAUUGCACAAUGGGCGAAAGCCUGAUGCAGCGACGCCGCGUGAGGGAUGACGGCCUUCGGGCUGUAAACCUCUUUCAGCAGGGAAGAAGCGAAAGUGACGGUACCUGCAGAAGAAGCACCGGCUAACUACGUGCCAGCAGCCGCGGUAAUACGUAGGGUGCGAGCGUUGUCCGGAAUUAUUGGGCGUAAAGAGCUUGUAGGCGGUUUGUCGCGUCUGCUGUGAAAAUCCGGGGCUCAACCCCGGACUUGCAGUGGGUACGGGCAGACUAGAGUGUGGUAGGGGAGACUGGAAUUCCUGGUGUAGCGGUGAAAUGCGCAGAUAUCAGGAGGAACACCGAUGGCGAAGGCAGGUCUCUGGGCCACUACUGACGCUGAGAAGCGAAAGCGGGGGGAGCGAACAGGAUUAGAUACCGUGGUACCCCAUGCCAAAAAAGUAGGGCGCUAGGUGUGGGACUCAUUCCACGAGUUCCGUGCCGCAGCUAACGCAUUAAGCGCCCCCGCCUGGGGAGUACGGGCCGCUAGGCUAAAACUCAAAGGAAUUGACCCGCGCCCGCACAAGGGGCGGAGCUUGCUGAUUAAUUCGAUGCAACACGAAGAACCUGUACCGAGGCCUGACAGAGACCGGAAACAUCCAGACAUGGUUCCCCCAUCUAGGACAGAAUAGAGGUGGGGCAUGUGUCUCCUCACGUCGUGACGUGAGAUGUUAGAUUAAGCUCCCACAACGAGCCCAAUCCUCAUUCUAUGCUGCCAGCACGUUAUGCUCUGGAACUCACUGCAACACUGAUGGAGUCAAAUCGGAAGAAGGAGGAGAUGAAUCCUAAUCAUCAUGACCCUUAUGACUUGGGCCUUACACCGGGGACAAUGACCGGGACAAACGUCCUGCGAAGCCUAACGGGGAACCGAAACCCCAAACCCGGAUGGAAGUCUGCAACGGGGCCCGC